rnacentral:rRNA from 1 species
UACAGAGGGGGCAAGCGUUAUUCGGAAUUAUUGGGCGUAAAGGGCGCGUAGGCGGCUUGGCAAGUGGAAGGUGAAAUCCCUCGGCUUAACCGAGGAACUGCCCUCCAAACUGCUUCGCUUGAGACCGGGAGAGGUGAGUGGAAUUCCCAGUGUAGCGGUGAAAUGCGUAGAUAUUGGGAGGAACACCAGUGGCGAAGGGGGCUCACUGGACCGGUACUGACGCUGAUGCGCGAAAGCGUGGGGAGCAAACGGG